rnacentral:rRNA from 1 species
AAUCAACGCUGGCGGCGUGCCUCAGACAUGCAAGUCGAACGAUUAAACUUUCCUUCGGGGAAGAUAUAAAGUGGCGCACGGGUGAGUAACACGUAAGUAAUCUACCUUCGAGUGGGGAAUAACAUCGGGAAACCGAUGCUAAUACCGCAUAACGCAGCGGCAUCUUAUGGUGACAGUUGUUAAAGGAGCAAUUCGCUUGAAGAGGAGCUUGCGGCAGAUUAGCUAGUUGGUAAGGUAAUGGCUUACCAAGGCUUCGAUCUGUAUCCGGUCUAAGAGGACGGUCGGACACACUGACACUGAAUAACGGGUCAGACUCCUACGGGAGGCAGCAGUCGGGAAUUUUGGGCAAUGGGCGAAAGCCUGACCCAGCAACGCCGCGUGAAGGAUGAAGUAUUUCGGUAUGUAAACUUCGAAAGAAUGGGAAGAACUCAAUGACGGUACCAUUUAUAAGCUCCGGCUAACUACGUGCCAGCAGCCGCGGUAAUACGUAGGGAGCAAGCGUUGUUCGGU